rfam:Morus notabilis contig9485, whole genome shotgun sequence.
UGUAACCUAUGAUGCAACUGUUUUAUAGCUGACUUACCCAUGAUUAUUAUUCAAAUUAUCACCAUCUUUCGGCUGAGGUUGCA